GGUUUAAUUCGAUGAUACGCGAGGAACCUUACCCGGGCUUGAAUUGCAGAGGAAGGAUUUGGAGACAAUGACGCCCUUCGGGGCCUCUGUGAAGGUGCUGCAUGGUUGUCGUCAGCUCGUGCCGUGAGGUGUCGGCUUAAGUGCCAUAACGAGCGCAACCCCUCUCCUUAGUUGCCAUCAGUUGAAGCUGGGCACUCUGGGGACACUGCCACCGUAAGGUGUGA
rnacentral:rRNA from 1 species